rnacentral:rRNA from 1 species
AAAUUGAAGAGUUUGAUCAUGGCUCAGAUUGAACGCUGGCGGCAGGCCUAACACAUGCAAGUCGAACGGUAACAGGAAACAGCUUGCUGUUUCGCUGACGAGUGGCGGACGGGUGAGUAAUGUCUGGGAAACUGCCUGAUGGAGGGGGGUAACUACUGGAAACGGUAGCUAAUACCGCAUAACGUCGCAAGACCAAAGAGGGGGACCUUCGGGCCUCUUGCCAUCGGAUGUGCCCAGAUGGGAUUAGCUAGUAGGUGAGGUAACGGCUCACCUAGGCGACGAUCCCUAGCUGGUCUGAGAGGAUGACCAGCCACACUGGAACUGAGACACGGUCCAGACUCCUACGGGAGGCAGCAGUGGGGAAUAUUGCACAAUGGGCGCAAGCCUGAUGCAGCCAUGCCGCGUGUAUGAAGAAGGCCUUCGGGUUGUAAAGUACUUUCAGCGG